UGCAUAUCAAAAAGCGGAGGAAAAGAAACCAACAGGGAUUGCCCCAGCUACGGCGAGUGAGCGGCAAAAGCUCAAAUUUGAAAUCCUGCGGGAAUUGUAAUUUGAAGGUUUCGUGGUCUGAGUCGGCCGCGCCCAAGUCCAUUGGAACAUGGCGCCUGGGAGGGUGAGAGCCCCGUAUGGCGCACGCCGACUCUUUGUACACCGCGGCUCCGACGAGUCGAGUUGUUUGGGAAUGCAGCUCUAAGUGGGUGGUAAAUUCCAUCUAAAGCUAAAUAUUGGCGAGAGACCGAUAGCGAACAAGUACAGUGAUGGAAAGAUGAAAAGCACUUUGAAAAGAGAGUGAAACAGCACGUGAAAUUGUUGAAAGGGAAGGGCUUGCAAGCAGACACGGUUUUACCGGGCCAGCGUCGAAAAGGGGGGAGGAACAAGAACUCGAGAAAUGUGGCGCGCACCUUCGGGCGCGCGUGUUAUAGCUCGUGUUGACGCCUCCAUCCCUUUUCGAGGCCUGCGAUUCUAGGACGCUGGCGUAAUGGUUGCAAGCCGCCCGUCUUAAACCACGGAC
rnacentral:rRNA from 1 species